UUGCCUCUUUCUUUUUGAUUUUUUUUAAUGAUAUUCAAUUUAGGCAUCUAAUAUUUUUUAUAUUUACAUAAUAAUAUUGUAAUAUUUCCUCUCAAACAAUCUUUAAUAUUUAAGUUAAAAAUUAGAUUUUUAAUAAUUUUACUAAGCCUUUUAUUUUAUAUAUUAUAUCAUAAUUUUCCUACUUUUGUAAUUUUUCUCACACUUAACUUUAUAUUUUUCUUACAUUUAACUUUUUUAAUAUCAAUAUAAGGUUUGUUCUGUUUUAAAAGAUAUGAUAAUAGCAAUUCUAUUUAUGUUACACCCUAACUUUUAACAGCGAGAGUGUAUUCUUUGAGACAUCCAUCUACUAGGAUGAUGACUUCUGAUUAUCUUUCCACUAUAGCCUUCUAAGCUUCCCAAUUUAUUUUCAAUGUUCUUCAUAUGUUCCUUCUUCAUGAUAAGGAGUUCCUGCACACUUGAACAUAUGUUAGUAUUUCAAUUGUUCUUCAAUAAUUUGUUAUCAUCAAAAUGGUCUAAAAGAACUUGUAUAAAACAUUCUUGUUCUAACAUUAAUUAAAUACUCACUACUAGAAAAAACAAAAUUAGCAAGGGAAAUUAGUGACGGAAAAAAUCAAAUUCCUCACAAAUUCUUUGGUCGUAAAAUUUAUUGACGGAAUUAGAGAGGGAUUUUACGUUUUUCCUCACAAAAUUUCCCUCACUAAUUUUUGUGUUUUUAGUAGUGUACUUUUCAGACACAACAUAUUCUAAAAGAACUUGCACAUAAUAGGUAUUUAGCACAAAAUGGUCUAAAUACAUAACAUUUUCAUAUAAUUUUGUUAAAUGUAAGUUAUAAAACAAAGUUCAAAUCAAAGCAGUUUCGAUACAAAUAUUUUAAGAUAAAUAGCACAUGGUAGGUAUUUGACACAAAAUGGAGUAAAUAUGUAUGAACAGAUUUUAGUUUAGACAUAUUUUUAUUAAAUACGUUUAAGAGACAAAAUCUUUUAUUAGAACAUGCAAGGGUAUUUUACACAAAAGAGAAGAAAAGAGAAACAUAGUAAUACCAUCCUUAUAGGAUGAUAAAAUAAUAAAAAACUUGACAAUAAAAUUAUACCAUUACUGCUGGUAAAAUAAAAACAGCUAAUGAUAACAAAUAUCAUGAGAAAUAUAUAGUUAUCUUUGAGGAAAAUCUGCUUUGUUUUGUGAUACCCUAAAAUAACACAAAAAAAGUUAAUUGAAUACCCUGAAAAACAAGAAGAGAGAUGAAAGAGAAACAUAUGAAAUUGUAGAUGCUUUAGGAGAAGAGAAAACGGAGAAUUGAAGAAGAAGAAGAACAUUAAGAAAGAAAGAAGAUAUUUGAUGAAAUAGUUGAAGUUAAAUACGAGAGUGGACGUAGUAAUAUGUAAUGCUUGAAAGAUGAGGUUUGGAAAAAAAAUUGAUUUGACACAAAAUUAAAACAUAAUUGCUGUAGUUAGUAUAACUUAAUUUCAACGAGAGUUAAUUUGAAUUAAUGGGGAAAUGUAGCCGAUUGUGGAAGAGAAGAGAGUUGUACUCCAUGUAUCGAGUAAAUUAAUUUAAUUCAAAUAGACGACACUUAAUUUUGGUAUGUUUAGAUAUUUAUUUUUUGUUACCAUGUUAUAGAUAUAAAGUUUUCAUGGUAGAGCUUAUUAAUGAUUAAUCUCAAUAAAAUGGAACUCAACUUUAUUUAAGGGGGUUCAUAAAUAUAUCCCAAAACAUGUUGGAGAGACAUCAUAAUUUAUCCCAAAACUUUAAUGUAAUGUGUUUAUAAGUCGCAUCAUUUAUAAAUUGUUUGACCUCCAUUUUUAUAAAUAUAUUAGUAAAAAAUUAAAAUAUUUCAUGAAAUAAAUAUCUACCGAGUAAAUUAAUUGAAU
rnacentral:lncRNA from 1 species